rnacentral:rRNA from 1 species
ACCUGACCGAGCGAUGCCGCGUGCGGGAUGAAGGCCCUCGGGUUGUAAACCGCUGUCAGUUGGGAGGAAGGCUCCGUGAAGAACGGAGUUUGACCUAUCUCAGAGGAAGUCCGGGCUAAGUUCGUGCCAGCAGCCGCGGUAAUACGAACCGGACAAACGUUAUUCGGAAUUAUUGGGCUUAAAGGGUGCGUAGGCGGCGCGGUAAGUGAGGUGUGAAAGCCCACGGCUCAACCGUGGAACUGCGCUUCAUACUGCCGUGCUUGAGGGAGACAGAGGUAAGCGGAACUGAUGGUGGAGCGGUGAAAUGCGUUGAUAUCAUCAGGAACACCGGUGGCGAAAGCGGCUUACUGGGUCUCUUCUGACGCUGAGGCACGAAAGCUAGGGGAGCGAACGGGAUUAGAUACCCCGGUAGUCCUAGCUGUAAACGAUGAGCACUUGGUUGGGGGCCCUCCCAUAGGUUCCCGGCCGAAGCGAAAGUGUUAAGUGCUCCGCCUGGGGAGUAUGGUCGCAAGGCUG